AAUGAACGCUGGCGGCAGGCCUAACACAUGCAAGUCGAACGCAUCCUUCGGGGUGAGUGGCGGACGGGUGAGUAACACGUGGGAACGUACCCUUUGCUACGGAAUAGUCUCGGGAAACUGGGGGUAAUACCGUAUGUGCCCUACGGGGGAAAGAUUUAUCGGCAAAGGAUCGGCCCGCGUUGGAUUAGGUAGUUGGUGGGGUAACGGCCUACCAAGCCGACGAUCCAUAGCUGGUUUGAGAGGAUGACCAGCCACACUGGGACUGAGACACGGCCCAGACUCCUACGGGAGGCAGCAGUGGGGAAUCUUAGACAAUGGGGGAAACCCUGAUCUAGCCAUGCCGCGUGAGUGAUGAAGGCCUUAGGGUUGUAAAGCUCUUUCGCUGGGGACGAUGAUGACGGUACCCGGAGAAUAAGCACCGGCUAACUCCGUGCCAGCCGCCGCGGUAAGAC
rnacentral:rRNA from 1 species